CUUAUCCCUGUUGUGUUUGGCUAUACCACACUUGUGUCCAAGUUAUAAGGUGGAGGGGGGGGGUACUACAAGAAACGAUUUGGGGCAUCGCCGCUUUAAAUCCAACCCCUGAGGUCAUUUGCACAAUUCAGUUAGGAAAGAAGCAUUCUUCAGAUGGGAAGCAGGCACAAGUGAAUGGAUUUCCUGAAUAAUAAAGCAACAUUUGGCUGACGUUCAGAAAACAAACUAAAUUUAUACUGGACUACUCAAAAAUCCACUGGAUGAAAUAAGCAGUUUUCCCCAAUACAUCUCUGGAAAGGGCCUAGAGAACAAACACAGAUGAGAAAUCUUGAUAAGGACCCUGAAUGUUGUUCCUUUUUUUUUUCUUUUCUUAAUUCUUAAAGGGAACGCCAGGAACAGCUGCCAUGAUGUGGUAUCAUCACAGACCCAUUCAUUUUGGGGCUGCAACUUGAUGGCCAUUCAAAGAUGAAUUAUUAAAAAGUAAACAUAGGAGUCUACUGCGGGUUUAAAAGUUUUUUUUUUGUACUAUUAAAACUAAUGAUGGAAAAUACCUUCUAACAUCAUUCAAUAUAAUACAUAACAGGCAAUGUUUGUGCACUCAGGGCAUAGAUUAAUGUAUUUUACGUGUGAUUUAUGCAUUCCAUUGGCUUUUGAACAAUUCACAAGAAGGAGCCCACUGUAGACUUGUACUUUUAUUUAAGUGCUGGCUUACAUUUUGCAUUGUGUUGUGCCUUAUGGUAAAACAUACACCAUUCAAAAGAUGUAUGACUAUAUUUACCCAUGUAAGCUUUAAGAGAUAUGAUUGUUACACUCAUAGGAACACAGUAAAGGUGACAUGACUUAAAAGACUAAGGUCACUUUUUCUCACGUGCAAAAGUAGUAGCCUGUUAAUCGAUCACACACAC